AGCAGCCGCGGUAAUUCCAGCUCCAAUAGCGUAUAUUAAAGUUGUUGCAGUUAAAAAGCUCGUAGUUGAAUUUCGGGGUCGGUAGAUCGGUCGUGCCACUGGUAUGUACUGGUCUCACUGGCUCCUCCUUCCUGAUGAACCGUAAUGCCAUUAAUUUGGUGUUGCGGGGAGACUGGACUGUUACUUUGAAAAAAUUAGAGUGUUUAAAGCAGGCUAACGCUUGAAUACAUUAGCAUGGAAUAAUGAAAUAGGACGGUGGUCCUGUUUUGUUGGUUUCUGAAUCACCGUAAUGAUUAAUAGGGAUAGUUGGGGGCAUUAGUAUUCAAUUGUCAGAGGUGAAAUUCUUGGAUUUAG
rnacentral:rRNA from 1 species